rnacentral:lncRNA from 1 species
UCCUUUGCUAUUUGAUUAAUUAAUAUUUAUAGGGAUAUGAUUUUUCCCCUCUGAGGACUGCUGCAGAUGUACCUUCGGAAUACUGGUAUGUUUUUCCUAAUUAACAUUUUCUUUAACAAAAUGAUCAUUUCUAUCUGUUCUUUCCAGGAGAUAUUGGCACCUCCUUUGCUGUGUGGAAUUGUUUUUAGCAUACAAUGAUAUCUUUGUAAGAUGGGCAAUAGCUGGUAAAUCGCUUCUCCAUCCACCUUCACCUUAUAAGGAAACCGGACAACAUAGUUUCCAGCCAUCCCUCAUUUCUGAGAGGCGAGCUUUUUGCCUUUUAUUCCUAGGAACCAGGAAUGUCCGAGUCUCCUCCUCCUACCAUCCUUUGUCACAGAAUCUCCCCUACCCCCACAUACAUAUUUUAGCAUCUUUUAUGUGUGUUUUUUCUCCCAUUAAAAUAGAAUCUCCUUGUAGGCAAGCAGGAUUCUUUUGCUUUUUUUAUGUGUAUCUCCAGCACCUAGCAUAUUGCAAGUGCUUAAUAAAUAUUAUGUCUGUCUGUCUUUAGUAAUCAUGGCCAACAUUUAUAUAGUACAUACUAUGUACCAGGCAUUGUAUUAAAUGCUUUACAAUUAUUAUCCCAUUUGGUCCUCAGAACAAUCCAGGAGAUAGGUGUUAUUCAUUCUCUCUAUGGGUUUCUGUCUCUGCUCUCUGGCUCUGUCUGUCUGUUUCUCUCUCUGUCUCUCUAUAUAUCUUUCUAUCUGUCUGUUUCUCUUUGUGUGUGUCUCUGUCUCUGUCUUGCUUUGUCUCUCUGUCUGUCUCUAUCUCGUCUCUGGCUCUGGCUCUGGCUCUGGCUCUAAAUCUUUCUAUUUCUCUCUGUAUGUGUCUCUGUCUCUGCCUGUCUGUGUCUGUCUGUAUCUAUCUCUGUUUCGGUCUCUGUCUCUGUCUCUGUCUCUGUCUCUGUCUCUGUCUGUCUCUGUCUCUGUCUGUCUGUCACUAUCUCUGGCUCUGGCUCUGGCUCUCUGCCUCUGACUCUGUCUCUCUGGCCCUGUCUCUCUAUCUUUCUAUCUGUCUGUCUGUUUCUCUCUGUGUGUCUAUCUCUGUCUCUCUGUGUGUGUCUCUAUCUCUGACUCUGUCUCUGUCUCUCCAUCUCUGUCCAUCUGUCUGUCUAUCUCUGUCUGUCUGUCUCUUUCUAUCUAUCUGUCUGUCUGUUUCUCUCUGUGUGUCUCUCUGUCUCUGUCCCUCUUUGCCUCUCUGCCUCUGUCUCUAUCUUUGUCUCUGUCUCUCCAUCUCUAUCCAUCUGUCAGUCUGUCUGUCUCUCUCUGUCUCUGUAUAUCUUUCUAUCUGUCUGUCUGUUUCUCUUUGCCUCUCUGCCUUCUGUCUCUCCAUCUCUGUCCAUCUGACUGUCUAUCUCUGUCUCUGUCUCUGUCUCUGUCUUUCUCUCUCUCUCUCAUCCAUCCAACUUUCCAUCUGCUCUGUCUGUCUAUCACUAGUCCCCAGAAGCCUUAUUUUGACAGGUCCUCCUAUGAUUUAGGAUUCAGUGUAUGCCAGGGGGAUGGUUCAUUUGAGAAGGCCCAGAAGGACUUAAUUAUAACAAAACCUCAUCUAUUUCACAGCAUGGAUCUUGGAGACGAAAUUCUACCAAGCCAAAUUCAUCUUUCUCUUAGAUAAAUCACUACAUUGAUUUGCAUGCUUUCUUCUUCCCUCUCUCCAUCCACAUUUUCACUGAGAAAUAAGAAGGUUGCUCGUCUGCUGUCAACCUCUGUACAUUUUGUUCCCCUUUUAAGUUACUGACCACUUUACAGAGCACCUAUGUGUCAUGAAACACAAGAGAAGUGACAAAACCAGGAGUCUAGAGGUGAAAUUCCUGUCUUCAACAUUUUUUAGCUGCUGCUUAGAGCAAAAGAAUUUAAUGUGAGGCUGCCCCAUGCGUCUGAUGUUGAAAGAGAUUAUAAGGGAGAUGAACUGCAAAUAACUGGAAAAACUGGACAAUUUUUAUCUCAUAAAAUGAUUUCCUUUCAAUAUUCAGGUUGGGGGCUGAAGAACUUACUGUUGUUCAGUCACUUCAGUCAUAUCUGACUCUUUGUAAUCCCAUUUGGGAUUUCCUUGGCAGAGAUACUGGAGUAGGUUUGCUAUUUCCUUCUCCAGGUCAUUUGACAGAUGGUGAAACUGAGGCAAACAAGGUAAAAUGACUUGCUCAGAGUCACCCAGCUAGUAAAUAUCUGAGACUAGAUAUGAACUCAGGUUUUCCUAAUUCCAGGCCCAGCAUUCUAUCCAUUUUGACAGCUAGAUACUCCUAAGAAUUUUUGGUCUCCCCAAAAAGGGUACACAGGAGAGACCUCAGACCUCUACUGGCACUGUUAAAGCUGUAGAACACUGACAGCCCAGGGGGAAAAU